ensembl:lncRNA
GUUGGCGAAACGAUUCCUUCUUUUUUUAGAACAACUCUUUUUACUGACUCGAGAGUCAUGACCGUUUUUUUAGAACAACUCUUUUUACUGACUCGAGAGUCAUGACUGUUUUUUAGUGUGACUCGUUCAUUUUAGUCGUUCGCUGCAACGAGUCCUAAAGCAGUAUUGAUACACUCUUCUCUAGUUCAGCGGCUCCAGACACGUGCUCCGACCAACAACUGUCUGUCAUAUCGCCGUGCAGGAAAACAUAUCGUAUUGCCAGACAGUAUAGAUAUGAAAAAUACGUGUUUUAAAGUAAUCCAUCACAUGGUGCAAUAAUGAAUGCAAUGAAUUCAUUAUUGAACGCAGCUUUGUGGAAGCAAAAUAUACACAGCCUAUGCUCAACAAACUCGAACUCGAGGGGACGAAUCAUUUGGUGGGCUGCAGUUCGCAAACGACAUUGUGCUUAUAAUGCCAAUGGAUCCCGCGAAGAGGUGUUCACAAUCUAGUCCGGUUGCUGCCUAGACCUCAUUUAAAGUGUAUAAAGAAAUAAUCUUAUUUUGUAUGACCCAGCAAUCAGCAAUCAACAAAUGUACAUUAUUUUGAAGCACACGUUUACAAGUGUCAGUCACAAAUGACAGCUCCAAAAAGCCCCUAUCUGUUGAACAACAUUUGAACAAGAGGUUUGUAAGAAUCAUCAUGACUUUUUUUAGUUUUCAGUUCAUUGUUACUCCGGUAGGGGUCCUGUGUGCUCUGGGCAUCAAUGACUCAAAUAAACAAAAUCAUUUGUUAUUUUGACUGAGCGAGUCUAAAAAAAAAGAUUAGAGUCAGGUUUAAAAAAAAGAUUAGAGUCAGGUUUAAAAAAAAGAUUAGUCAAGUAAAAAAAAAGAGCAGAACUUCUUAUUGAUAGUCUGUUAUAACACGGACGACCGGCCGUCUGCUUGGAGUGAAAUACAGAAAAUCAACAGCAGGGGGAGCUCUUUACUAACCAAUACAGAUGGACUCCAGCCACAUCUCAGGAAGUAAGAGAAUAUUUUUACUUUAAUGGAAAUGUGUUGAGUUACAGUUAUUCUGAAACGUAUAUUAGCAUUUUUUUGGGGGGGAACAAAUGUUGCCGAUUUUUUCAAAACAGAGUUCAUAUGACACAUAACUCUGUGGCCUUCUUGCAAAUCAGUAAAUGUGUUUUCAAAAUGUAGUUGCCUUCUCAAAACCAUUCAUCUAAACUAUAUUAUACCGUCAAAAUUGCUAAAGACAAUGAUAGCCUACAGUGGUUAGAGCGUUGGGCCAGUAACCGAAAGGUUGCUGGUUUGAAUCCCAGAGCUGUCAAGGUAAAAAAAAUCUAUCUCUCCAACCCUGAAGGCAGUUAACCCACUGUUUCCCGGUAGGCCAUCACUGUAAACAAGGCAGUUAACCCACUGUUUCCCGGUAGGCCAUCAC